GUGUCAGCAGCCGCGGUAAUACGGGGGGUGCAAGCGUUACUCGGAAUCACUGGGCGUAAAGAGCAUGUAGGCGGAUUAAUAAGUUUGAAGUGAAAUCCUAUAGCUUAACUAUAGAACUGCUUUGAAAACUGUUAAUCUAGAAUGUGGGAGAGGUAGAUGGAAUUUCUGGUGUAGGGGUAAAAUCCGUAGAGAUCAGAAGGAAUACCGAUUGCGAAGGCGAUCUACUGGAACAUUAUUGACGCUGAGAUGCGAAAGCGUGGGGAGCAAACAGGAUUAGAUACCCUGGUAGUCCACGCCCUAAACGAUGUACACUAGUUGUUGUGAGACUUGAUCUUGCAGUAAUGCAGUUAACACAUUAAGUGUACCGCCUGGGGAGUACGGUCGCAAGAUUAAA
rnacentral:rRNA from 1 species